rnacentral:rRNA from 1 species
AACCUCCGCAAUGUGAGAAAUCGCGACGGGGGGAUCCCAAGUGCCAUUCUUAACGGGAUGGCUUUUCAUUAGUGUAAAGAGCUUUUGGAAUAAGGGCUGGGCAAGACCGGUGCCAGCCGCCGCGGUAACACCGGCAGCUCUAGUGGUAGCAGUUUUUAUUGGGCCUAAAGCAUCCGUAGCCGGUUUAAUAAGUCUCUGGUGAAAUCCUGUAGCUUAACUGUGGGAAUUGCUGGAGAUACUAUUAGACUUGAGACCGGGAGAGGUUAGAGGUACUCCCAGGGUAGAGGUGAAAUUCUGUAAUCCUGGGAGGACCGCCUGUUGCGAAGGCGUCUAACUGGAACGGUUCUGACGGUGAGGGACGAAAGUUAGGGGCGCGAACCGGAUUAGAUACCCGGGUAGUCCUAACCGUAAACGAUGCGGACUUGGUGUUGGGGUGGCUUUGAGCUGCUCCAGUGCCGAAGGGAGCUGUUAAGUCCGCCGCCUGGGAAGUACGGUCGCAAGACUGAAACUUAAAGGAGUU